rnacentral:lncRNA from 1 species
UUCAAGCAGUCAAAUUUGUAGUGUUCAUAGUUGGUGCGGUUGGUCUUUUUUCUUGGCCUGUGUCGAUCAAUAUAUUCUUGUUCCAUGUCCAACUUUGAGAUGCCAUAUUCUUCACAAAAAGACAAUACAUUCCCUAACAAAGAAUCCCAACCAUCAUCUCUAAUUUGCUGAAACUUUUGUUUUGUUAAUCUCACCUCUGCCAUGGCCUCUAAUAUAUCUUUAUCUUUCCUUUGCAAUGAUAGUGACAACAAAUUAGCAUGCCCCAAAAUAAGCAACAUUAAUUGUAAGUGGAACACGAAGUCAAAAUCUUUAAGAUAGUC